UACGUAGGCAGCAAGCGUUGUUCGGAAUGACUGGGCGUAAAGAGUGUGUAGGCGGUGCUCCAAGUCUGGUGUGAAAUCUCCCGGCUUAACUGGGAGGGUGCAUUAGAAACUGGAAUGCUAGAGGAUGGGAGAGGUAAGCGGAAUUCCUGGUGUAGCGGUGAAAUGCGUAGAUAUCAGGAGGAACACCUGUGGUGUAGACAGCUUACUGGACCAUUUCUGACGCUGAGACACGAAAGCGUGGGUAGCAAACAGG
rnacentral:rRNA from 1 species